GAGGAUAUAGCUCAAGUAGUAGAGGGCAUGCUUAGCAUGCACGAGGUCCUGGGUUCAAUCCCCAGUAGCUCCU
rnacentral:tRNA from 1 species